CGCACACAGACAAGCGAGCGAGCGAACGAACGAACGAACACCCCAAGAGUCCUGCUUGCUUGCUUGAUCUCUCUCGCUUGCUCCCUCUCCUCUAGUUUCCCGCGGACGAACGGACGGACAGUCGGCGUGGUGAGAACGCUCAGUGUUGUUGUGUGUUGCCAAAGGAAAAUACCCACAACGCGCGCGCGCACGAGUAGUGGCAUCGUCACUUAUUUCUUGUUGUGCGAACUCAACUACCGGUACUGUACUGUGGUAGAUCUAAAUUACACGGGAGUUGCUGCAGGCUGGACUAUCACAUUUCGAGCUUAAUUCUCAGGUGUCAUAGGAUAACUACAUCAGGAAGAA